rnacentral:rRNA from 1 species
AUUGAACGCUGGCGGCAUGCUUUACACAUGCAAGUCGAACGGCAGCGCGGGCUUCGGCCUGGCGGCGAGUGGCGAACGGGUGAGUAAUGCAUCGGAACGUGCCCAUUAGUUGGGGAUAGCCCGGCGAAAGCCGGAUUAAUACCGCAUACGACCUGAGGGUGUAAGCGGGGGACCGAAAGGCCUCGCGCUCUUGGAGCGGCCGAUGUCGGAUUAGCUAGUUGGUGGGGUAAAGGCUUACCAAGGCGACGAUCCGUAGCUGGUCUGAGAGGACGACCAGCCACACUGGGACUGAGACACGGCCCAGACUCCUACGGGAGGCAGCAGUGGGGAAUUUUGGACAAUGGGGGCAACCCUGAUCCAGCCAUGCCGCGUGCGGGAAGAAGGCCUUCGGGUUGUAAACCGCUUUUGUUCGGGAAGAAAACCUCUGGGCUAAUACCCCGGGGGGAUGACGGUACCGGAAGAAUAAGCACCGGCUAACUACGUG